GCCCCGCCGAAAUACCAAAGUGCAAAUUUGGAGGUGCACCCCAUAAGGGUGCCGGGGCUUCUCCCGUUUUAAACGAGACGGGAGAAGA
rnacentral:tRNA from 1 species